rnacentral:misc_RNA from 1 species
AGAGCAAUUGUUUUAACGCAUGAUGACAUCUCAAAGGUCUUUAGCCGGCUUUGCUUUUAUGGCUGAUAUCCAAGGCAUGUUGUCGUAUUGAGCUCUGCUUCAUCACCCUCUGUGAGCUGCUUACUUAGCCUGCAAUUCGUUUUCUGGGUUGUAUGGCCUGCUACUCAGGAGCUUCCUUGUCUCGAUCUGCUGUUUUGUAGGGAAUAUGACUGAAUUAUGGCUCUCCUAGGACUCCUUU